rnacentral:rRNA from 1 species
UACGUAGGGUGCAAGCGUUAAUCGGAAUUACUGGGCGUAAAGCGUGCGCAGGCGGUUGUGCAAGACAGAUGUGAAAUCCCCGGGCUCAACCUGGGAAUUGCAUUUGUGACUGCACGGCUAGAGUGUGUCAGAGGGGGGUAGAAUUCCACGUGUAGCAGUGAAAUGCGUAGAGAUGUGGAGGAAUACCGAUGGCGAAGGCAGGCCCCCUGGGAUAACACUGACGCUCAUGCACGAAAGCGUGGGGAGCAAACGG